rnacentral:rRNA from 1 species
UGGGGAAUAUUGGACAAUGGGGGCAACCCUGAUCCAGCCAUGCCGCGUGUGUGAAGAAGGCCUUUUGGUUGUAAAGCACUUUAAGCAGUGAAGAAGACUCCAUGGUUAAUACCCAUGGACGAUGACAUUAGCUGCAGAAUAAGCACCGGCUAACUCUGUGCCAGCAGCCGCGGUAAUACAGAGGGUGCAAGCGUUAAUCGGAAUUACUGGGCGUAAAGCGAGCGUAGGUGGAUUGAUAAGUCAGAUGGGAAAGCCCCGGGCUUAACCUGGGAACGGCAUCUGAUGCUGUUAGGCUAGAGUAGGUGAGAGGAAGGUAGAAUUCCAGGUGUAGCGGUGAAAUGCGUAGAGAUCUGGAGGAAUACCGAUGGCGAAGGCAGCCUUCUGGCAUCAUACUGACACUGAGGUUCGAAAGCGUGGGUAGCAAACA